rnacentral:rRNA from 1 species
GUCUACAGCCAUGCUACCGUGAACAAGUCUGAACCCGUCUGAUCUCAGAAGCUGAGCAGGAUUGGGCCUGGUUAGUACUUGGACGGGAGACCACCUAGUACCACUUGCUGUAGGUA